rnacentral:rRNA from 1 species
CCCGCAACGAGCGCAACCCUUGAUCUUAGUUGCCAGCAUUUAGUUGGGCACUCUAAGGUGACUGCCGGUGACAAACCGGAGGAAGGUGGGGAUGACGUCAAAUCAUCAUGCCCCUUAUGACCUGGGCUACACACGUGCUACAAUGGACAGAACAAAGGGCUGCGAGACCGCAAGGUUUAGCCAAUCCCACAAAUCUGUUCUCAGUUCGGAUCGCAGUCUGCAACUCGACUGCGUGAAGCUGGAAUCGCUAGUAAUCGCGGAUCAGCAUGCCGCGGUGAAUACGUU